rnacentral:rRNA from 1 species
UACGUAGGGGCCUAGCGUUGUCCGGAUUUACUGGGCGUAAAGAGCUCGUAGGUGGUUUGUCGCGUUGUUCGUGAAAACUCACAGCUUAACUGUGGGCGUGCGGGCGAUACGGGCAGACUGGAGUACUGCAGGGGAGACUGGAAUUCCUGGUGUAGCGGUGGAAUGCGCAGAUAUCAGGAGGAACACCGGUGGCGAAGGCGGGUCUCUGGGCAGUAACUGACGCUGAGGAGCGAAAGCGUGGGGAGCGAACAGG